CUCUUCUGUGUUGAAGUGCUUACUGAAUGAGGAAGACUGUCCUCAUUCACUGUCAUGGAGCAUGCUGAAUUAGGAAAUGUGAGGCUUUUGGAAAUAACAGAGUUAAGGAAAGACAGAGAGAGAGGAGAAGUGUGCAAGGGCUGAAAGACCGAACGCAACCAGCAUGAAGAGGGAAGGAAAUGCACCGUCACAAGCUGAGUGGAAAUGUGACGCUGUGACUGGAGUGGGCAAUCUGAUUUCCUGGUUCUUUACUCCAAGCACACAGCGAAUCGCAAGCUCACAAAAAUGCACAUUGCAAACUAAUGAAUAAAUGCACUAAAAACUAA